rnacentral:rRNA from 1 species
UACGUAGGGGGCGAGCGUUACCCGGAUUUACUGGGCGUAAAGAGCGUGUAGGCGGCUGGCCAAGCGUGAUGUGAAAUCUUCGGGCUUAACCCGAAAACUGCAUUGCGAACUGGUCUGGCUAGAGUGUGUGAGAGGGUAGUGGAAUUCCUGGUGUAGCGGUGAAAUGCGUAGAUAUCAGGAGGAACACCGGUGGUGUAAACGGCUUUCUGGACCAUAACUGACGCUGAGGCACGAAAGCGUGGGUAGCAAACAGG